GCUAAACGCGAAGAACCUUACCAACCCUUGACAUGGCAGGACGGUUACCAGAGAUGGUUUCCUUCACUUCGGUGACCUGCACACAGGUGCUGCAUGGCUGUCGUCAGCUCGUGUCGUGAGAUGUUGGGUUAAGUCCCGCAACGAGCGCAACCCUCGCCCUUAGUUGCCAUCAUUUGGUUGGGCACUCUAAGGGGACUGCCGGUGAUAAGCCGGAGGAAGGUGGGGGAUGACGUCAAGUCUUCAUGGCCCUUACGGGUUGGGCUACACACGUGCUACAAUGGCGGUGACAGAGGGCUGCUAGUCCGCGAGGACAUGCUAAUCCCUAAAAAGCCGUCUCAGUUCGGAUUGCACUCUGCAACUCGAGUGCAUGAAGUCGGAAUCGCUAGUAAUCGCAGAUCAGCACGCUGCGGUGAAUACGUUCCCGGGUCUUGUACACACCG
rnacentral:rRNA from 1 species